GCUAAACAGCUAGCCCAACUACCCAAACCCAAAAAUCCAUCAAUACACCCUCAUACACAACCAUAAACUUAAUCAAACCAUUCUCCCCCUCAAGUACGGGCGACAGAAACAGGAACACGGAGCCAUAGACAAAGUACCGCAAGGGAACGCUGAAAGAGCCAUGAAACAGUCCAGUAAAGCACUAAAAAGCAGAGACUAAACCUCGUACCUUUUGCAUCAUGAUUUAGCCAGUACCCCCAGGCAAAAAGAAUUUUAGUCUGACACCCCGAAACUAAGUGAGCUACUCCAAGACAGCCUAACAUAUAAGGGCCAACCCGUCUCUGUGGCAAAAGAGUGGGAAGAGCUUUGAGUAGAGGUGAUAAAUCUACCGAACUUAGUAAUAGCUGGUUGCCUAAGAAAUGAAUAAAAGUUCAGCCUUCCAGCUUCUCUUCUCACACGGCCCACGCCCCUAACAGAUACAAAGAAACUGAAAGAGUUAGUCGAAGGGGGUACAGCCCCUUUGAACCAAGAAACAACUUUUACAGGCGGGUAAAGAUCAAAAUAACUAAAGGAAACAUGUCUAAGUGGGCCUAAAGGCAGCCACCUAAGCAGAAAGCGUUAAAGCUCAGACACCCCCCCCCCCCCAAUCCCGAUAGCGCUUUCUCAUCCCCCUCUCCCUUAUUAGGCUAUUUUAUGCAAACAUAAAAGCACCCAUGCUAAUAUGAGUAAUAAGAAAAGUAAAGCUUUUCUCCCAGCACGCACAUCCAUCGAAACGGACCUUCCAUCGAACAUUACCGGCCCCAAGCGAAGAGGGCAAACGAACACGAAAUAAACAACCAGAAAAUCCUCCAAAAAUAACCGUUAAGCCUACACUGGCGUGCUCACUAGGAAAGACUAAAAGAAAAAGAAGGAACUCGGCAAACACAUCGCCUCGCCUGUUUACCAAAAACAUCGCCUCUUGUCAACUAAAAAUAAGAGGUCCCACCUGCCCAGUGACAUUACGUUUAACGGCCGCGGUAUUCUAACCGUGCAAAGGUAGCGCAAUCACUUGUCUUUUAAAUGAAGACCUGUAUGAAUGGCAUAACGAGGGCCUAGCUGUCUCCUUUUUCUAGUCAAUGAAAUUGAUCCCCCCGUGCAGAAGCGGGGCUACACCCAUAAGACGAGAAGACCCUGUGGAGCUUUAGACACCAGAGACAGGCCUUGUUCAACGCCUCCAGAUAAAAAGGCCCAACUGAAGGAUUCUGCCCCAAUGUCUUCGGUUGGGGCGACCCUGGAGAAUACAAAACCUCCACGCGGAGCAGGAGAACUUCUCCCACAACUAAGAGUUGCUACUCUAAGCAAUAGAAUCUCUAACCUAAAGAUCCGGCAAAGCCGAAUAACGAACCGAGUUACCCCAGGGAUAACAGCGCAAUCCCCUUUCAGAGUCCCUAUCGACAAGGGGGUUUACGACCUCGAUGUUGGAUCAGGACAUCCUAAUGGUGCAGCCGCUAUUAAGGGUUCGUUUGUUCAACGAUUAAAGUCCUACGUGAUCUGAGUUCAGACCGGAGUAAUCCAGGUCAGUUUCUAUCUAUGAAACAUUUUUUCCCAGUACGAAAGGACCGGAAAAAAGAGGCCUAUGCCAUAGACACGCCUCCUUCUCACCUAAUGAAGUCAACUAAAUUAGACAAAAGAAUGUAGUCUUAAGCCCAAGAUAAUGGCUU
rnacentral:rRNA from 1 species